rnacentral:rRNA from 1 species
ACGCACGCUGGCGGCGUGCCUAAUCCAUGCAAGUUGAGCGCUGAAGGUUGGUACUUGUACCAACUGGAUGAGCAGCGAACGGGUGAGUACCGCGUGGGGAAUCUGCCUUUGAGCGGGGGACAACAUUUGGAAACGAAUGCUAAUACCGCAUAAAAACUUUAAACACAAGUUUUAAGUUUGAAAGAUGCAAUUGCAUCACUCAAAGAUGAUCCCGCGUUGUAUUAGCUAGUUGGUGAGGUAAAGGCUCACCAAGGCGAUGAUACAUAGCCGACCUGAGAGGGUGAUCGGCCACAUUGGGACUGAGACACGGCCCAAACUCCUACGGGAGGCAGCAGUAGGGAAUCUUCGGCAAUGGACGAAAGUCUGACCGAGCAACGCCGCGUGAGUGAAGAAGGUUUUCGGAUCGUAAAACUCUGUUGGUAGAGAAGAACGUUGGUGAGAGUGGAAAGCUCAUCAAGUGACGGUAACUACCCAGAAAGGGACGGCUAACUACGUG